AAUUCCAGGCUUUAGACGUAAGGUAAUUUUGAAACGCUGGUCGAACUAGAUCCAUCACUGUCUAUUCCUAUCCCUGCAGCCGCUCCUUAGGACCACCCCUCUUAAGGAAACAACCAGAAAGCCUAGCAUGGCCAAACCACACUGGCCCCACCUCUGCACAGCAAUGCCAGCCUGGCUUGCCCCUGGCCAGAGCAUCUCCCCUCACCCACCUGGUUUGUUUGUGCUGAGGACAACUCAGCCCUCCCUAGGGGGCAUGUUGAAGGCAGGUUUGGGCAAUACUUACCUUUUUUUCUCCUUGGCUGGAUCAGAGGUCUUCCUGGGGGAAGGAGAAGGAAUGAGGACUACGGACUGCACUGCUUCCCUGGGGGCUUGGUGAGGUGGAAAAGGCUCCAGUUCUUUGAGGGUUGGUGCAUUGGUGGGUCUUCAGUAGAAUUCUAGUCAUCCCCAGUUAUCCUCUGUGGCAGUAGGAAUGUGCUGGUAGGGGGCAGUGUGGAGUGGCUGGAAGUGCACAGACUUUGGGGUCACUGGCACCUGGUGCCAGCUGGGUGGGCAUCCUUGGGAAAAGUGCUUAACCUAUCUGAGCCUUAGUUUCCCCGCUUGUGAUAAGGGGGAUAUUAUUGUGGAGAUUUAAUCUUUUUUUUUUUUUUUUUUUUUUUUGAGAGUCUCACUCUGUCGCCCAGGCUGGAGUGCAGUGGUGCGAUCUCGGCUCACUGCAAGCUCCGCCUCCCAGGUUCACGCCAUUCUCCUGCCUCAGCCUCCCGAGUAGCCAGGACUACAGGCGCCCGCCACCACGCCCGGCUAAUUUUUUUGUAUUUUUAGUAGAGAUGGGGUUUCACCACAUUAGCCAGGAUGGUCUCGAUCUCCUGACCUCAUGAUCUUCCCACCUCAGCCUCAUAGUAGGUGCUCAAGAAGUAUUUUCUCUGACAUUCCCAUCCCCCAUCCUUCAUGAGUUGUUGGAUUUGGAAAAGAAGUUUGAAAUGGGCCGGGCGCGUUGGCUCACACCUGUAAUCCCAGCACUUUGGGAGUCUGAGGUGGGCGAAUCACGAGGUCAGGAAUUCGAGACCAGCCCGGCCAACAUAGUGAAACCCCAUCUCUACUAAAAAUACAAAAAAUUAGCCAGGCAUGGUGGCUGAUGCCUGUAAUCUCAACUACUUGGGAGGCUGAGGCAGGAGAAUUGCUUGAACCCGGGAGGCAGAGGUUGUAGUGAGCUGAGAUUGCGCCAUUGCACUCCAGCCCGGGUGACAGUGUAAGACUCCAUCUCAAAAAAAAAAAGAAGUUUGAAAUGGCUCAGUUCAGAACUCAUUUUGUAGAAGAGGAAACUAAGGCCAAAAGUGCUUGGUCACAAGUUGGUUUUCUCUAUUUUUAUAUGUGUAUUUUUUUUUUAUUACAAAAGCAGUCCUUGAAUACAUCCACUAUUUUGAAAAGGUUUGUACAAGUAAAAUUUAAAGUCUCUCUUCCCUUUCUCCCCCCUCAUCUCCACUUCUGUCCUUGAAGUAACCACUGUUUACAGUUUGAUAUUUAUCCUUCUAGAACUUUCCCCAUGCAUUUGCAUAUCUGUGUGUAUGUCGUUUUUUAAAAACAAGUAGGCUCCUCUUGAAUAUUGAUCUGUAACAUGCUUUUUCCCACUUAACCAUGUAUCUUGGAGAUCUUUCCACAUCUUUCUAUGGGUCUGCCUCAUUCUCUUUAAUGGCCACAAGGGUUAAGGAUACGUGUAAUAGAUUUUGACCAUUCCCUGAUUGAUGGUGUUUAUGUUAUUUCCGAAUUCUUGCUAUUACAAGCAUGUUGGCAGUGAAUACCCUCAGGGCUCAUGUAGUAACAGCAUGUCUGCCUGAAAAGCGAGACUCUGGGUCAGAAAGGUAAGCACAUUUCCAACUUGCCUGGAUAUUGCGAACGUGUCCUCCAAAUAGACAGUGUAAAAGUGCCAGUUUUUUCACACCAAGCCAACACGGAGCAUUACCACUUAAAAAAUGUAAUAUUGACAAUAAGAGAAAACUGCUCUGUGUGCAGAGUAUUUUCUCCUGGUCCCCCAAGGACAGGACUCCUGAGUUGAAAGUGCCUUCAGGGAACACAGGUUUAAGUUAGUAAUUUUGUUUCAGCCAAAGAAAAUUGACUAGAAAGCUUGGCUUGUGGCUUUGCCCACAUCCAGACUGGUCUCUAGCUUCACUGCCACUCCCCAGAGUCAUCCAGAGCAUGGAAGGCACCACUCAGGGUGCAGAGCCUGUGCCCCCACCCUUCAGGUGCCCGUGCUCCCCAUUGUUGGGAACAGCCUUGUUUACACUUGUUGCCUGGCGUAAUUACUAACACUCCCCAAAGUGUCCUGGUUGCAUGCUAAUUUCUUUUUUUGAGAUGGAGUCUCGCUUUGUCGCCCAGGCUGGAGUGUAGUGGCAUGAUCUUGGCUCACUGCAACCUCUGCCUCCCAGGUUCAAGCAAUUCUACUGCCUCAGCCUCCUGAGUAGCUGGGAUUACAGGCACGUGCCACCAUGUCUGUCUAAUUUUUGUAUUUUUAAUAGAGAUGGGGUUUCACCAUGUUGGUCAGGCUGGUCUCAAACUCCUGACCUUAAGUGAUGUACCCACCUCGGCCUGCCAAAGUGCUGGGAUUACAGACAUGAGCCACUGCCCCCCAGCCUGGAUGAUAAUUCCUAUGGACAGUCUGUGCCACCCCAUCUCAUGAGCGACCCCUACUGGACUGGAGUACCUGACCCCAGUUACUGGGCUUUGACUUAGGGCCUCUGCUUUAUGUUGCAGAACCCACUCAGAACCCCUGCUUGCUGGGCUCCAUUGUCAUUGUCACUCACCUCCCACUCGCUUCCCCAUCAGCCCAAAGAACUGGCUUGCCUUGCCCGUCUUCACCUCCUGCAGCUGGAGCUGAAUGCUGGGGCCAGCGCCUUCCUGAAGAAGCAGAGAGUUAGUGUUAGAGUUGGGAGGUUGUCCAGCAGACGGGAGGCCAGCCUGGGCAAUGGCAAUCUCAGGAGUGACAGCUGGUGGUCAGCAGAGACUUGCUGUGCACUGGCACUGGGCACCUCAGCAUAUUUUACACAGUACUGCACAUCUUUGUAAUAAUAGCUAACAUUUCACCUACUAUGUUCUGAGCACGUUGAUCUAGUAACUAAUUUAAACCUCACCAAAACACCAGGAAAACAGUACCCUAAGUACUGUUACUGUCAUUUUACACAUGAAAACACCGAGACACAGGUUAAAGAAUUGUUCAGCUGGGCGCAGUGGCUCACACCUGUAAUCCCGGCACUCUGGGAGGCCGAGAUGGGUGGGUCGCUUGAGGUCAGGAGUUCGAGACCAGCCUGGCCAACAUGGUGAAACCCCGUCUCUAAUAAAAAUACAAAAAUUAGCUGGGCAUGGUGGUAGACACCUGUAAUCCCAGCUACUCAGGAGGCUGAGGCAGGAGAAUUGCUUGAACCUGGGAGGCAGAGGCUGCAGUGAGCCAAGAUCCUGCCCCUGCACUCCAGCCUAGGUGACAGAGCAAGACUCCAUUUCAAAAAGAAAGAAUUGUCCAAGGUCACCCAGCUGGGAAGUGAGAGGUGGAACCAGAAGUUGAACUCAGGCUCAAAGGCUGGUCUGAAACACUGCAGUCAUAAUCUCAUUUAAUCUUCACAACCACCAUAACUAGUAGAAACUAUGAUUUCCCCCGGCCCCUGCAUUUUACAGAUGGAGAAACUGAGAUGUAAGGAGGUUAAGUGACUUGUCCAAGGUCACACGGGAAGAGGCUGAGCCAAGAUUCAAAGUCUGACUUCACAGUACUGGUUCUGCUCUAUCAUGGGAAGUGUCUCCAACAUAGAUGAGGAGAGGGCAGCCAGUGAACUCACGGUGGGUCCCCAGGAGGCAAGGCAGGACUGCUUCCCCUCCUUAUCCCCACUCACCUCUCUUCCCCAGGCACUUCCCCCAUUGUCCCAGAUUUUCCUUGCCUUAGAGCCUGGGCCUCCCGGAAGGAAGUGGCAUGUGGUCUGGGGGUGGAGGCUAUUACCCUGGGCAAAGACAUUUUAAUCGUUGUGCUGAUGGCAUCCUCAACCAAGGACUGUGGAUUGACAUUCUCAUUCUUCCAUUAGCCUCUGUGACCUUGGCCAAAGCCUUCUCCCUCUCUGACCUUAACCUGAACUUCUGAACUGGGGCUUGCUCAGUUCUGCUGAAAGGGAGUCGCUCCCUAGUUGAGAGAGUGACAGUGGGUAACAUUCAUUAGACUGUCUUCACAUGUCUGUAUCCCCAGCUCCUGGCACUGAGCCUUGCACACAUAGGAGCCCAGCACACAUGGGACACAGAAUGCCAAAUGAGGAGUCCUUUCUCUGAGAGUCUGGGAAUAGGGAGGGGGCUGGGGAGUCCCCUUUUCCAGGAAAGCUAAAGAUAGACAAACAGAGCCCUAGAGUAAUGCGAGCCGCCUGCCAGGAGCUGGGAGCUGGGCUUGGAUCAGAGGCUCUUUCUUCCAUCCCCAGUUUCCCUAGGGGUAGCGCUGGAGCUCCUGGGACCAGCAGGAACCUGGCUAGGGACGACAUAAACCCUCUUGUCUCUCACAACUUGUGUUGUGGCACCUUUCAGGAUCAGGAAUGGAUUGUUUUCUAAGCCUUGGACUAAUUCACUCACUUCCCAUCUGCUUCCCUCCCACCCCACCAGGACGUCAGUGGCUGGGGCAUCUAUCUUGAGCUGGAGUCACCCAGCCUGGCCAAGAACUGGAAAAGUCUCUUUGGGGAUUUGGACCCAUUUCUGAAAAGCUCAUGAAAACCACUUUGCCUUGGUAAGAGGCAGCCUUCAGGUGCAAGCUGGAGAGAAUGGCCACUUAUGAAUUCAAUAGGACUGACCUUUCUCCCCCACUGGGUUUCUGUGCCUGGUGGGGGGGCAUUCGGAGACAUUGGUUUCCCAUUCACUCCGACAGGACUCCUGCCCCCAGCCGGAGCCCUCCAUAUCCAUUUAACCCAAAUCCCCAACUCCAGGGAUGACUACAGGUUGGGGGAGCCCCGAGAGCAAGGGAGGUAAGUGAUGCGAUCAUGCCCCAUUCCUGUUACCUCAUUUUUUUUUUUUUUUUGAGACAGGGUCUCGCUCUGUUGCCCAGGUUGGAGUGCAGCAGCACAAGCACGACUCACUGCAGCCUCAACUUCCUGGGUCCCAGUGAUCCUCCCGCCUCAGCCUUUUGAGUAGCUGGGGCCACAGAUGUGCAUCAUCAUGCCUGGCAAAUUUUGUUUAUGUUUUGUAGAGAUGGGUCUUUCUAUGUUGCCCAGGCUGAUCUUGAACUCCUGGCCUCCAGCAGUCCUUCUGCCUCUGCCUCCCAAAGUGCUGGGAUUACAGGCAUGAGACUCCACAGCCGGCCGUCACUUAUGUUAUGCUUAGCAUCCCACAGCAUUUGUAAGUUCUUCCUGACUUCUAACCCAGUCUCCUCCCAUAUUCCAAGCCCUGUAUUUUGGGAAGCAGAGGGAUGUGAUAUUAAAGGAGAGUGAAAGGAGAGUAAGGAUUAGACCCAGCUGCAGGAUGAGGUGCUUUUGGGAAACAGUCCAGCAGCACUAGUUGAAGUUUUUAACGUUUCCCAUGGGGCUGCGUAGUGAGGCCCAUCACCCAGCAAGGCUUCUGUCUCUAGACCAGGUACCCUGAUGUUUGGCACUGACUAUAAAAGCAUAUCAAAGCUGGAGAAAAGCCUUGGGGGGUCACUUCCCUCCUCCGUUUUGCAGGUGAGGAAACUGAUGUCCAGAAAGAAGCAGGCAUCAGUGGAGACACUCCUAGCCCUGCUGCCCUCUCCUCACUGCACACACUUCCAGGUUCAGACAAACCGGAAAGGAAACCCACCAUGCAGGACUGUCCAUGUGAUGGCUCUUCCCGUGGCUCCAUUUCUAAGCGCCUCCGAGGACCUCAUCGUGGCCCAGGACCGCAAGCCAAGGCCACCCCAGUGUCCUUACCAUCCUGGGAAUGGGAGGAGUCAGGCCCAGCCUUGUCCUGUCUGCCCCCCUGGAAGCCUUCCCUGAGCACUGGCCUCUUAUUUACCCGUCUUUGUCUCUGGCUUGUUGGUAUCUGUCCCUUGUCUGAUUAGGGAACGCCUGAGGUCAGGAUCUUUGCCUCCCCAAUCAGAUUGUCAGGCAGGAGUGGGGGUAGUGCAGAUGCUGGGUCAUUUCUACAUGUGAGACCAAAUAGUGGUCCUGUUUAAGUUGAUCCCCUUGAAAGAAAAUUCUGGAAAAGCUCCUCAGAUGCACAGAUACACAGAAUCAGACCUUGGGCAAAGUGUGUAGUUGUGCUUUUGAAGCUGUGCAACCUUGGACAAACUACUUGACUUCUCUGUGCCUCAGUUUCCUUAUUUGUGAAAUGAGGGGUAGUCAUGAUACCUUCCCCAUGAGGUUGAUGGGAGGAUUGAGUUAAUAUUUAUAAAGCAUUUCAGACAGUGCCA
rnacentral:lncRNA from 1 species